rnacentral:rRNA from 1 species
UACGUAGGGGGCGAGCGUUGUCCGAAUUUACUGGGCGUAAAGCGCGUGUAGGCGGUCCUUUAAGUCAGAUGUGAAAUCCUGUGGCUCAACCACAGAACUGCAUUUGAAACUGAAGGGCUUGAGUGUGGGAGAGGAAAGUGGAAUUCCUGGUGUAGCGGUGAAAUGCGUAGAUAUCAGGAGGAACACCCGUGGCGAAGGCGGCUUUCUGGCCCACCACUGACGCUGAGACGCGAAAGCUAGGGGAGCGAACGGG